rnacentral:rRNA from 1 species
ACCGAAGGUGCGAGCGUUAAUCGGAAUUACUGGGCGUAAAGGGUGCGUCGGUGGUUGAUUAAGUUAUCUGUGAAAUCCCUGGGCUUAACCUGGGAAGGUCAGAUAAUACUGGUUGACUCGAGUAUGGGAGAGGGUAGUGGAA